CCGCACGGGUGAGUAACACGUAUCCAACCUGCCGUCUACUCUUGGACAGCCCUCUGAAAGGAAGAUUAAUACAAGAUGGCAUCAUGAGUUCACAUGUUCACAUGAUUAAAGGUAUUCCGGUAGACGAUGGGGAUGCGUUCCAUUAGAUAGUAGGCGGGGUAACGGCCCACCUAGUCUUCGAUGGAUAGGGGUUCUGAGAGGAAGGUCCCCCACAUUGGAACUGAGACACGGUCCAA
rnacentral:rRNA from 1 species